rnacentral:rRNA from 1 species
CCUACGGGAGGCAGCAGUAGGGAAUCUUCCACAAUGGGCGAAAGCCUGAUGGAGCAACGCCGCGUGGGUGAAGAAGGUCUUCGGAUCGUAAAACCCUGUUGUUAGAGAAGUAAGAGCGUGAGAGUAACUGUUCACGUUUCGACGGUAUCUAACCAGAAAGCCACGGUUAAUUACGUGCGAGCAGCCGCGGUAAUACGUAGGUGGCAAGCGUUAUCCGGAUUUAUUGGGCGUAAAGGGAACGCAGGCGGUCUUUUAAGUCUGAUGUGAAAGCCUUCGGCUUAACCGGAGUAGUGCAUUGGAAACUGGGAGACUUGAGUGCAGAAGAGGUGAGUGGAACUCGAUGUGUAGCGGUGAAAUGCAUAGAUAUAUGGAAGAACACCGAUUGCGAAGGCAGCUCUCUGGUCUGUAACUGACGCUGAGGUUCGAAAGCGUGGGUAGCAAACAGGAUUAGAUACCCGGGUAGUC